rnacentral:rRNA from 1 species
UGGGGAAUCUUGCGCAAUGGGCGAAGCCUGACGCAGCGACGCCGCGUGCGGGAUGACGGCCUUCGGGUUGUAAACCGCUUUCAGCAGGGACGAGGCCGCAAGGUGACGGUACCUGCAGAAGAAGCCCCGGCUAACUACGUGCC